AAGAACCGAUUUGAAGAGGUUGCCAUUCACUCUGUCAGGCUGCGUGUGGGAUUCAUCAGGACCCAGCCUCGCUUUCUUUCACCCCGCAUCAAUGUGCCCUAAAGGAUUUUUCUUUAAACCUGAUUGCUUGGAAGGCAUUACCCAAGUGACCACCUGGUAAUUACUUCAACAGCAGAGCGACUCAUACAGCCGGCAGUCCACUUUGUUCUUCUAUAGAUCCUGCCUGUGGUGUUGGAUCUAACAGCUUCUUCCCUGACCCAAGAUUAUGAAGGAUUUCUCCUGUGUUCUCUUCUAAAAAUUUUACAUUUAGGUACAUAAUCCAUUUUGAGCUAAUUCUUUUAAAUAGUGCAAAGUAUGGAUUGAAGUUCUUUUUUUUUUUUUUUUUUGCAGAUACAUAUUUAAUUUUUCCAGCACCAUUUGUUGAAAAGACUAAUGUUCUUGCCUGAAUAGCCUU
rnacentral:lncRNA from 1 species